CGACUCUGGGACGCUAGGAGGGUCAAGGUGGAGACCGCCCAGAACAGGGGCGUGUCGCCGGAUGGGGCGGCCGGCUACCGUUACGGGCUGCGUCGGGCCACCGACGGCCACCCGCUCUCCGCCGAGGAGGUACAGAAGGUCGUCAGCCGGGUGAACCAGCUCUCCAGCUAGCGGCGCAGAGGGUGGUGGCCGUGAACGCCUGUCGGACGGCGCCGGAGGGCAGCGCCGGCCG